GCCACAUGCUCUUUCCAAGGCAUUUUAAAGCUGUUUCUUAAAGCUGUUUUCACUCUAAAGGAGAGGUGCUGCAGGCAGCCACACAUGCUUUAAGGAGGCUUCUUAAAGCUGUUUCUUAUACUCUAGAGGAGAGGUCCUGCUGGCAGGCAUGAGGGUUUUAAGGAGGCUUUUCAAAGCUGUUUCUAUUCUAGAGGAGAGGCGCUGCACCAGGCACGUGCACUUUCUCUCCAGGGCCUGCACCACACCACACCACACACUCUUUCCAAGGCAUUUUAAGGAGACUUCCCACUUCCAGAGCUAUGGACAGAGAAUGCUGAACACUGUGAAAGAAAGGAUUAUGCUAGUUUUUAAAAUUCAUUUCUUUUUGCCUUGACAUUUAUUCUUGAUGAAUGAACUGCUCUACAACAUUUAUGGAGCAGCAGGACAGCAUUAUCCUGUGACAUUGUUCUAGUCCACUGACAUUAUUUCUUAAUUAUCUCUACUGCCACAAAGUCAGGCACCCUGCAUAUGGAAGUAGCCAGAUAUAGCCUGGCCCCCACCAACCAAUCCUCCAGCCUUUUCAGCAGAAGUCAAGACUCCCUUUCCUGGCCCUGGUUUUAAAAUUGAAUUUUGCAUGGUCUGGAGGUGCUAAUAAGAACAAACACAUGCUGCAUACAUUUCUCUGUACAAUGUCAUAUUAUAUAAAGAUUCUUGUAAAUCAUUUUCUGACCUACUCACUCAUAAAACAAUGUUACUGGGAGAAAUGCAAGGAUGCUUCCACAAUUUUUAAAAUUUACAUGAGUUAGAAGUCAAAAGACAUGUUUUUCAAGAUUCUGUCUUAAACUACUUGCACUGAAAUCUUCAAAGUAUGGCAAAUGCGUUUACAGAGGGCUAUUUGGGAAGAAAAAGGGGACAGCUGGGAAAAUCUGGUCUUUUUAAUUAUUUAUUUAUGAUUGCAAUUCUUCUUCUGGUUUUAUAAAAAUGUACAGACAUUUGGGGGGGGGGGUCAAGUAUUGAAUUUGAUUAAAGAAAACGAAUAGUUAUAAUUUUAGUAUGUCAUCCUGAUACCUGAAAUUCAAUAAACAGAAUGAAAAGCCAUUA
rnacentral:lncRNA from 11 species